rnacentral:rRNA from 1 species
ACGGUUACCUUGUUACGACUUCACCCCAAUCAUCAGUCCCACCUUCGACAGCUCCCUCCCUUGCGGGUUAGGCCACCGGCUUCGGGUGUUACUAACUUUCGUGGUGUGACGGGCGGUGUGUACAAGGCCCGGGAACGUAUUCACCGCGGUAUGCUGACCCGCGAUUACUAGCGAUUCCGACUUCAUGCAGGCGGGUUGCAGCCUGCAAUCCGAACUGAGAUCAGUUUUCUGGGAUUUGCUCCACCUCGCGGCUUCGCUUCCCUCUGUUCUGACCAUUGUAGCACGUGUGUAGCCCAAGACAUAAGGGGCAUGAUGAUUUGACGUCAUCCCCACCUUCCUCCAGUUUGUCACUGGCAGUCUCUCUAGAGUCCCCAUCUUACUGCUGGCAACUAGAAAUAAGGGUUGCGCUCGUUGCGGGACUUAACCCAACAUCUCACGACACGAGCUGACGACAACCAUGCACCACCUGUCUCUCCUGUCUCCGAAGAAAAGAGAUACAUUACAUAUCUUGUCAGGAGGAUGUCAAGUCUUGGUAAGGUUCUUCGCGUUGCGUCGAAUUAAACCACAUGCUCCACCGCUUGUGCGGGCCCCCGUCAAUUCCUUUGAGUUUCAGUCUUGCGACCGUACUCCCC